rnacentral:tRNA from 2 species
CAAAGUAUAGCUUAUUUAAAAGUUUAUUAGUUACAUUAAUAAGAAAAUUAUUAUAUUUAUUUUGA